ensembl:ncRNA lncRNA:CR40629 long non-coding RNA:CR40629
CUGGCAACCCUCCUAGCACGUGUGAAAAACUCAAAGAAGAAGACGAUGACUUUGCAGUCGACAAGUCCCAUUUCUGUCGAGUCCGUAAGUAACUAGGUUUUUCCUAUGGAAAUUAUAGCAAGUCACAGUAAAAUCUUGUAGCCAAAACAACAAGAACAACCAGAUGGGCCUGGAGUUUUUCACCCAGACGUGGACAUGAUUCUGAAGCCGGUGCUCGACAGUUCCUCGGACUGGGUCUCCGGCGAUGAGGAUAAGUGUUACGGCAUGAUUCACGCCGUGGCGUGAUUGAUAUGCGCCUAAAGUGUGAGAGAGGAGACUUCGAAUUGUGUCAAAAUGUCUCCUGUAACUGUCAGAGAACCCUGCCAGUGGGCCUCAGCGACGUGUGGAGCACGUCCAAUGUGAAGAUCUUCUGCCCUCGCUGUAACUACACUUACCGUCUGCGAUCCGGUACAGAGCUGGACGAAGCCAUGUUCGGGCCCAGCUUCCAACUUCUUCAUGCAGCUGCCGAACUUAAGACCGCCCCUGGACGUCCACCGGUAAGUAAUUCUUCGAAUAUAGUCCUGGUUCUUUUCUACAGAAAGAGCUUGCACUUGCAGUACCUAGGCUUACGGUUGCAUCAGAAGGCCUUAAUGCCACUCGAAUCGCCCAAGUCCUCGCCAAAGAAUAUCGGAUACACCGUCAACAAGUUCUCCUCCUCACUCAGUGCAUUCCAAAGUCAAUCGCUUCAAGGAUUUCCAGGAAUGACCUCAAUUUUUAACUCCUCACGAGAGAGAGCAGAAAUGUUUGUCCAAUAUCUUGUUGUUGCAAUUAAACAUAUUCCGCAGUGCGUUGAUAUGGCCAGCUACCACCUACUCACACACCUCAUACUCCUCUGCCCUUAAUACU